rnacentral:rRNA from 1 species
CGGAGGGUGCAAGCGUUAUCCGGAUUCACUGGGUUUAAAGGGAGCGUAGGUGGGCUGGUAAGUCAGUGGUGAAAUCUCCGAGCUUAACUUGGAAACUGCCAUUGAUACUAUUAGUCUUGAAUAUUGUGGAGGUCAGCGGAAUAUGUCAUGUAGCGGUGAAAUGCUUAGAGAUGACAUAGAACACCAAUUGCGAAGGCAGCUGGCUACGCAUAUAUUGACACUGAGGCUCGAAAGCGUGGGGAUCAAACAGGAUUAGAUACCCUGGUAGUCCACGCCCUAAACUAUGGAUACUCGACAUACGCGAUACACUGUGUGUGUCUGAGCGAAAGCAUUAAGUAUCCCACCUGGGAAGUACGAUCGCAAGAUUG